UUAAAGUCUAACCUGCCCACUGAAAUUUUUUAAAUGGCCGCAGUAUUCUAACUGUGCAAAGGUAGCAUAAUCAUUAGUCUUUUAAUUGAAGGCUGGAAUGAAUGGUUGGACGAAAUAUUAACUGUUUCAUUUGAAUUUUUUAUAGAAUUUUAUUUUUUAGUCAAAAAGCUAAAAUUUAUUUAAAAGACGAGAAGACCCUAUAAAUCUUUAUAUUUUGUUUAUUUUAAUCAUAAAGAUUGUUUUUAUUAUAAUAAAUUAAAAUAUUUUAUUGGGGUGAUAUUAAAAUUUAAAAAACUUUUAAUUUUUGAAACCAUUAAUAUAUGAAUAAUUGAUCCAUUAAUAAUGAUUAAAAAUUUAAGUUACUUUAGGGAUAACAGCGUAAUUUUUUUGGAGAGUUCAUAUCGAUAAAAAAGAUUGCGACCUCGAUGUUGGAUUAAGAUAUAAUUUUGGGUGUAGCCGUUCAAAUUUUAAGUCUGUUCGACUUUUAAAUUCUUACAUGAUCUGAGUUCAAACCGGCGUAAGCCAGGUUGGUUUCUAUCUUUAAAAAAUUAUAAUAUUUUAGUACGAAAGGACCAAAUAUUAAAAUAAUUAUAUUUUUAAUAAGAAUAUUAUUAAUUUAA
rnacentral:rRNA from 1 species